rnacentral:rRNA from 1 species
AUGAACGCUGGCGGCGUGCCUAAUACAUGCAAGUCGAGCGAACAGACGAGGAGCUUGCUCCUCUGACGUUAGCGGCGGACGGGUGAGUAACACGUGGAUAACCUACCUAUAAGACUGGGAUAACUUCGGGAAACCGGAGCUAAUACCGGAUAAUAUAUUGAACCGCAUGGUUCAAUAGUGAAAGACGGUUUUGCUGUCACUUAUAGAUGGAUCCGCGCCGCAUUCGCUAGUUGGUAAGGUAACGGCUUACCAAGGCAACGAUGCGUAGCCGACCUGAGAGGGUGAUCGGCCGCACUGGAACUGAGACACGGUCCAGACUCCUACGGGAGGCAGCAGUAGGGAAUCUUCCGCAAUAGACGAAAGCCUGACGGAGCAACGCCGCGUGAGUGAUGAAGGUCUUCGGAUCGUAAAACUCUGUUAUUAGGGAAGAACAAAUGUGUAAGUAACUAUGCACGUCUUGACGGUACCUAAUCAGAAAGCCACGGCUAACUACGUG